rnacentral:rRNA from 1 species
CCAAUAGCGUAUAUUAAAGUUGUUGCAGUUAAAAAGCUCGUAGUUGAAUUUUGGAUCUGACCAAGCGGUCCGCCUUUGGUGAGUACUGUUUGUGUCGGGUCUAUCCUUCUGGUGAGCUGGUAUGCCCUUUAUUGGGUGUGUCAGGGAACCAGGACCAUUACCUUGAAAAAAUUAGAGUGUUUAAAGCGGGCAUAAGCUUGAAUAGAUUAGCAUGGAAUAAUAGAAUAGGACGUUGUGGUUCUAUUUUGUUGGUUUCUAGGACCACCGUAAUGAUUAAUAGGGAUAGUUGGGGGCAUUAGUAUUCAAUUGUCAGAGGUGAAAUUCUUGGAUUUAUUGAAGACUAACUACUGCGAAAGCAUUUGCCAAGGAUGUUUUCAUUAAUCAAGAACGAAAGUUAGGGGAUCGAAGACGAUCAGAUACCGUCGUAGUCUUAACCAUAAACUAUGCCGACUAGGAAUCGGGCGAAGUUAUUUUAAUGACUCGCUCGGCGCCUUAUG